GACGAACGCUGGCGGCGUGCUUAACACAUGCAAGUCGAACGAAGAGCGACGGAAGCUUGCUUCUAUCAAUCUUAGUGGCGAACGGGUGAGUAACGCGUAAUCAACCUGCCCUUCAGAGGGGGACAACAGUUGGAAACGACUGCUAAUACCGCAUACGAUCUAACCUCGGCAUCGAGGAUAGAUGAAAGGUGGCCUCUACAUGUAAGCUAUCACUGAAGGAGGGGAUUGCGUCUGAUUAGCUAGUUGGAGGGGUAACGGCCCACCAAGGCGAUGAUCAGUAGCCGGCCUGAGGGGAUGGACGGCCACAUUGGGACUGAGACACGGCCCAGACUCCUACGGGAGGCAGCAGUGGGGAAUCUUCCGCAAUGGACGAAAGUCUGACGGAGCAACGCCGCGUGAGUGAUGACGGCCUUCGGGUUGGAAAGCUCUGUUAAUCGGGACGAAAGGCCUUCUUGCGAAUAGUGAGAAGGAUUGACGGUACCGGAAUAGAAAGCCACGGCUAACUACGUG
rnacentral:rRNA from 1 species